GAUGAACGCUGGCGGCGUGCCUAAUACAUGCAAGUCGAGCGAACGGACGCGAAGCUUGCUUCUCUGAUGUUAGCGGCGGACGGGUGAGUAACACGUGGAUAACCUACCUAUAAGACUGGGAUAACUUCGGGAAACCGGAGCUAAUACCGGACGAUAUUUUGAACCGCAUGGUUCAAAAGUGAAAGACGGUCUUGCUGUCACUUAUAGAUGGAUCCGCGCUGCAUUAGCUAGUUGGUAGGGUAACGGCUUACCAAGGCAACGAUGCAUAGCCGACCUGAGAAGGUGAUGGGCCACACUGGAACUGAGACACGGUCCAGACUCCUACGGGAGGCAGCAGCAGCGAAUCGUCCGCAAAGGGCGAAAGCCUGACGGAGCAACGCCGCGUGAGUGAUGAAGGUCCUCGGAUCGUAAAACUCUGUUAUUAGGGAAGAACGUAUGUGUAAGUAACUGUGCACAUCUUGACGGUACCUAAACAGAAAGCAACGGCUAACUACGUG
rnacentral:rRNA from 1 species